GGGUUGUGAGGUUAAGCGACUAAGCGUACACGGUGGAUGCCCUGGCAGUCAGAGGCGAUGAAGGACGUGCUAAUCUGCGAUAAGCGUCGGUAAGGUGAUAUGAACCGUUAUAACCGGCGAUUUCCGAAUGGGGAAACCCAGUGUGAUUCGUCACACUAUCAUUAACUGAAUCCAUAGGUUAAUGAGGCGAACCGGGGGAACUGAAACAUCUAAGUACCCCGAGGAAAAGAAAUCAACCGAGAUUCCCCCAGUAGCGGCGAGCGAACGGGGAGGAGCCCAGAGCCUGAAUCAGUGUGUGUGUUAGUGGAAGCGUCUGGAAAGGCGCGCGAUACAGGGUGACAGCCCCGUACACAAAAAUGCACAUGCUGUGAGCUCGAUGAGUAGGGCGGGACACGUGGUAUCCUGUCUGAAUAUGGGGGGACCAUCCUCCAAGGCUAAAUACUCCUGACUGACCGAUAGUGAACCAGUACCGUGAGGGAAAGGCGAAAAGAACCCCGGCGAGGGGAGUGAAAAAGAACCUGAAACCGUGUACGUACAAGCAGUGGGAGCACAGAGCAAUCUGUGUGACUGCGUACCUUUUGUAUAAUGGGUCAGCGACUUAUAUUCUGUAGCAAGGUUAACUGAAUAGGGGAGCCGAAGGGAAACCGAGUCUUAACUGGGCGUUAAGUUGCAGGGUAUAGACCCGAAACCCGGUGAUCUAGCCAUGGGCAGGUUGAAGGUUGGGUAACACUAACUGGAGGACCGAACCGACUAAUGUUGAAAAAUUAGCGGAUGACUUGUGGCUGGGGGUGAAAGGCCAAUCAAACCGGGAGAUAGCUGGUUCUCCCCGAAAGCUAUUUAGGUAGCGCCUCGUGAAUUCAUCUCCGGGGGUAGAGCACUGUUUCGGCAAGGGGGUCAUCCCGACUUACCAACCCGAUGCAAACUGCGAAUACCGGAGAAUGUUAUCACGGGAGACACACGGCGGGUGCUAACGUCCGUCGUGAAGAGGGAAACAACCCAGACCGCCAGCUAAGGUCCCAAAGUCAUGGUUAAGUGGGAAACGAUGUGGGAAGGCCCAGACAGCCAGGAUGUUGGCUUAGAAGCAGCCAUCAUUUAAAGAAAGCGUAAUAGCUCACUGGUCGAGUCGGCCUGCGCGGAAGAUGUAACGGGGCUAAACCAUGCACCGAAGCUGCGGCAGCGACACUGUGUGUUGUUGGGUAGGGGAGCGUUCUGUAAGCCUGUGAAGGUGUGCUGUGAGGCAUGCUGGAGGUAUCAGAAGUGCGAAUGCUGACAUAAGUAACGAUAAAGCGGGUGAAAAGCCCGCUCGCCGGAAGACCAAGGGUUCCUGUCCAACGUUAAUCGGGGCAGGGUGAGUCGACCCCUAAGGCGAGGCCGAAAGGCGUAGUCGAUGGGAAACAGGUUAAUAUUCCUGUACUUGGUGUUACUGCGAAGGGGGGACGGAGAAGGCUAUGUUGGCCGGGCGACGGUUGUCCCGGUUUAAGCGUGUAGGCUGGUUUUCCAGGCAAAUCCGGAAAAUCAAGGCUGAGGCGUGAUGACGAGGCACUACGGUGCUGAAGCAACAAAUGCCCUGCUUCCAGGAAAAGCCUCUAAGCAUCAGGUAACAUCAAAUCGUACCCCAAACCGACACAGGUGGUCAGGUAGAGAAUACCAAGGCGCUUGAGAGAACUCGGGUGAAGGAACUAGGCAAAAUGGUGCCGUAACUUCGGGAGAAGGCACGCUGAUAUGUAGGUGAAGUCCCUCGCGGAUGGAGCUGAAAUCAGUCGAAGAUACCAGCUGGCUGCAACUGUUUAUUAAAAACACAGCACUGUGCAAACACGAAAGUGGACGUAUACGGUGUGACGCCUGCCCGGUGCCGGAAGGUUAAUUGAUGGGGUCAGCGCAAGCGAAGCUCUUGAUCGAAGCCCCGGUAAACGGCGGCCGUAACUAUAACGGUCCUAAGGUAGCGAAAUUCCUUGUCGGGUAAGUUCCGACCUGCACGAAUGGCGUAAUGAUGGCCAGGCUGUCUCCACCCGAGACUCAGUGAAAUUGAACUCGCUGUGAAGAUGCAGUGUACCCGCGGCAAGACGGAAAGACCCCGUGAACCUUUACUAUAGCUUGACACUGAACAUUGAGCCUUGAUGUGUAGGAUAGGUGGGAGGCUUUGAAGUGUGGACGCCAGUCUGCAUGGAGCCGACCUUGAAAUACCACCCUUUAAUGUUUGAUGUUCUAACGUGGACCCGUGAUCCGGGUUGCGGACAGUGUCUGGUGGGUAGUUUGACUGGGGCGGUCUCCUCCUAAAGAGUAACGGAGGAGCACGAAGGUUGGCUAAUCCUGGUCGGACAUCAGGAGGUUAGUGCAAUGGCAUAAGCCAGCUUGACUGCGAGCGUGACGGCGCGAGCAGGUGCGAAAGCAGGUCAUAGUGAUCCGGUGGUUCUGAAUGGAAGGGCCAUCGCUCAACGGAUAAAAGGUACUCCGGGGAUAACAGGCUGAUACCGCCCAAGAGUUCAUAUCGACGGCGGUGUUUGGCACCUCGAUGUCGGCUCAUCACAUCCUGGGGCUGAAGUAGGUCCCAAGGGUAUGGCUGUUCGCCAUUUAAAGUGGUACGCGAGCUGGGUUUAGAACGUCGUGAGACAGUUCGGUCCCUAUCUGCCGUGGGCGCUGGAGAACUGAGGGGGGCUGCUCCUAGUACGAGAGGACCGGAGUGGACGCAUCACUGGUGUUCGGGUUGUCAUGCCAAUGGCACUGCCCGGUAGCUAAAUGCGGAAGAGAUAAGUGCUGAAAGCAUCUAAGCACGAAACUUGCCCCGAGAUGAGUUCUCCCUGACCCUUUAAGGGUCCUGAAGGAACGUUGAAGACGACGACGUUGAUAGGCCGGGUGUGUAAGCGCAGCGAUGCGUUGAGCUAACCGGUACUAAUGAACCGUGAGGCUUAACCUUACAACGCCGAAGGUGUUU
rnacentral:rRNA from 1 species